rnacentral:tRNA from 1 species
UGGAGUAUAGCCAAGUGGUAAGGCACCGGUUUUUGAUAUCGGCAUUCAAAGGUUCGAAUCCUUUUACUUCAG